rnacentral:tRNA from 1 species
GAGGGUAUAGCUCAGUGGUAGAGUGCAUGCUUAGCAUGCACGGGGGUGUGGGUUCAAUCCCUGGUACUUCCA